AUAGUAUUGAUUAUCAACAUUAUUAUUCUGCCAGAUGUUCUCAAAUGUGGAGCAACAUAUCUCAGAGCAGCCCUGCCGCCCUUCCCCACUCUUCAGAUGCCAGUGUGAAAGCUUUUGGAUAAUCUCCUGAUGAGGAAAUAAUUUAAGAAUAAGGAGCCCGGAUUACUAUGCUGAUCCAGAUUCUUCCAGGAAGAAUAAUAAACAGCUUCCCAGCAGCUUAUGACUCCUUUGGAAAUUUAAUGUUUGACCUCCAUGUUGGGCUGGAACUGCACAUUUAUCCCACUUAGAAAUCUAACUGCUUGGUCUAACUGCUGAGAGAUGCAUCUAAAAGUGACUGAAAGACCCAGUGACUGAGUCCUUGGAAGGAGCCAUUUAAAAGCCCUGACAGACUCUAUUAAACACUGGUUGUAUAUGCAAAGAAAAGAA
rnacentral:lncRNA from 1 species